rnacentral:lncRNA from 1 species
UGCCUCUUGCUUCUCCCUCACUUCUCUCUCCCCUCCUUGACCCAUUACCACAUCUUAGCUAAUGCAGAAUUCUCUUCCCUUCUACACUAUGAAUUUUCUUAUAGAAUUUCUACUGACAUAAACUGUUAAGCUAAAGCUUGCUGUGAAGUUCUGCUCCUGCAGAGAACUUUACUACGGGAAGACAACUAACCUUUUGCAUCUUAGGAGGUCCUGGGGCUUAAUUGCAUUACAGAGUCAGACAACCGUAAAUACCCAACUAUACAUCAGCAGCAUCAAAUUAUUUUCUAUAUGAAAUGAUGGAACCCAUUGUGAAUACAGCAAACCCAGUGCCCUUUGUGUGGUGAGUAUUCAGUGAACAGUUGGCAUUUUCAUUUAUCCACAUUCUCUCUAAUGUAAAGGAAAAAUAAAAGGUUGCUAUCAAGAUAGUCCUUCCUGUGCUAUAUACAUAAUUUAGGUAGUGCUGUUUAUAAGUUCUCUAGCAAUGUUAUAUGUGUUAUAGAUCAUUACAUCACCACAAUAUUCUUAACUAAAACUGGUAGUAAGGUUUCAGUAACGUUGUUGUUCAGAAAUCUACAUCUGUAUUAGUAAUAAUUAUAUUUGCUUGUUAAAAAAAUAUAAAACAUUGUAGCUGGAGAGAUGGCAGAAUAGGGAAAAGAGUUUGCUCCUGAGACCACCUGAGUUUUAUUCUAGAAUCCAUACGAUGAAAGUUGAAAACCAAUUCAGGCAGGUUGCCCAGUGACCAGCAUAUGACUACCAUGACACACAUGUACAUACCUGAGCAUGUGUACACUGCACACACAUACACACAAAAUAAAAUAAAAUAAAUAAAUAACAAUCAUAAGUAAAAAUGUAUAUGCACAUGUAUGUAAAGCACUAUUAUUACUAAACAAUUCAAGCCAUGACAGAUAAAUGUUGCUUUAAAAGUUUCUGCUUUAAGGUGUCUUAUGAACUGGGUACACUUCACUCAACACCAUACCACCCUGGGCCCGGCAGAUUAAUGUCUCUGCAUAGUUUUUCAUUGCAAGCCUCCAACCAAGUAUUAUAAUAAGUUGUUCUUUGGUGAUUCUAUUGAAUGCAUUAAUUUUGACUGAUUUUUUUGUCUUGGUAUAAUGUAACUUUGUUAAAAAUAGUUCAGGAUAUCUUUGGUUACAUCAACAUGAAUUUUCAAAUUCAGUGAUUUAUUUGAAAUCAGCACAUCACCCAAAUGAUAGGUAGCAUUUUGUAUUUGUGCAAAAUCAUUACCAGGCAGAUCAGAACAACCCCCCUUGGGCAUGAGGUAGGAUUGGGCUUCCAUAUGUUAAUGGAAACAAAAUGAGGAGGGGACUCCUAAUUACUUGAGUUUAUUAGGAAUCCCAGGGCACCUUUCAGAAUGGCAGAGGUGAUGUUAGCCCUUAUGUCCUGGACAUGAUCCAGUGUAGGUAACUGCUAAUUACAAUCUGUCUACCUGAUUCCCCUGCCUCUUGCCUCUGAACGUUCCUUUUUUUUUUUUUAACUUAGCAAUAUUUAACUUUUUUUGCUUGUGUAAGUCUAUUAGAAUGUCUGCUUAUUAUUAUUUUUUUAUUCAACACUUAGCAGGUUUGGUUCUCCAUUCGGCUGUCUUUCACAAUAGUUAUUAUCGUCCUGUGGUUAUCAUUAAUUUCUUUUAUAAAUUUUUCUAAUUAUAUUUUUGUACAGAAAACUUAGUGUACAUUUAACCCAGUUUGUGGUGAGUUCAUUAGCCUUUGCCUUUUCUGAUUUAGCGAUGUGAGCCACAGAUUUAGGACCCAGGACGUUGCCUCCCCAGUGUCAGCAGAUCUCGUCCUAUCUAUCAUUAAAAUUGGUCCUAAUAUCGUCCACCAGCCUAGCCAGAACUCCCUUGUCUCUCGAGAUAACCUGUGUGAAGGCAACAGUGGUACAUGACUUCCUGUGGACCACGCGCCCCAGCCUGGCCUUUCCCUUGAUAAUGCAUCAGGGCACCACCAUCUUUUGAACAGGGCAGGCAGGAAAACCACCAGUUCAAUGGGGUCUACAUCAUGGGCAAUCACUACCAGCUGAGCCUUCUUGUUCUCCACCAAGGUGGUGACCGUAUUGACUCCUGCUCAGAGGACAGGUGGUCUCUUAGUUGGGAUGUCCGCUUUGCCAGCAGCUUUAUUCUCAGCACAGGACAGUAGCCUUGCUUCUUCUAUUGCUUUGUCUCUGGCCUGUACUUGUGGGCAAGCUUACGCAGCUAAGUAGCUAUUUGCCUGUCCAGAGCCUGGGUGAACUGGUUAAUGGCAAGAGGUGCUUUGAGCCGCUUAUAAAGGAUGGGUCUUUAAUGCUGCAGCCUGAUGUAGUGGGGCCAUUUGAAGAAGCACGUUAGAUCUCUUUUGGCCUGGAUGUCCUGCCCAAUGCCAAAGUUGUUGGGCCUUUUCUCAAACAAAGGAUUGACUUCAAUUUUGGCCUUCUGUUUCUUGAUGAUGGUGGGAACUGGGCCCACCUUCUUCCACUUGGCCUUCUUUCCUUUGGGCAUCUUGCUUGGUGGGAGGAGAGAGAAAGCCUAAUGAUUUCUAUAGACAAAACAAAGCAGCAGACAAACAAACACCCCUCACACAAACGCUAUACAAUCUCCUACUGUUUUCAAUUUCUUAAACUAGACUAGGCAUUAUCAGUCUUAUAUACAGGACUUCUGGUUCUGUUUUUGAUAAUAUAAAUAACAUUGGCUCAUAGACUACACAUUCUAAGGUUAUGACAACUAGGAGUGAAGUCCUAGACCCAGCAAGAUCUUCACUGUCCUCAAGGAUAGAGGUAAAAUAUGAGUGUUUGGAAGAGGGAUAGAUGGAUGUCUGCUGAUGAUUAGAUAUAUUGAUAAUGAUCCUCUGUGUUUUGAAGCCCUCUCUCUAUAGGAAAAGUUCUAGUUGGAAGGUUAGCCUACUCUUUGAUUGUUUGUUGCUGUUGUUUUUGUUAAAGCACAAUUAAGUACAGCUGAAAACACAGUACUAAAAGGAUGACCUAAAAGACUCCAUGAAUCGCAAAUGCAGGGCAAAGUAAUACUGCGGUAUUGCAAACCCAAGAAAGAAAGCAGAAAUAUUCUUAAACAUAUUUAUGUCUGAGCCACUGAUUUGGAAAGUGUUGCUUUGAGUUUCAGUGGGGGCCAUGCAUAUUUUACUUACAGUCUAGCUUUGGCAUCCCUAGAAGUUCCUUAAUGAACUUCAUUUGUUCCUUAGCAAUAUCAGAUGAAUCAAAACAUCUUUCUCAGUAGCCAUAAGCUUUCUCUAUGAGCUAAGAAGAUUAGGACUUUUGAGAAAUAAGCCCAUCUGCCAUAAAAACUAUACAUUAUGAAUAUUUCACACAUCCAGAAUUUGAAGCCCAUUUUUUACUAUAUGGAAAAUCAUCAACUUCCGUGCUCCAUCAGCCCUCUAGGAUGAACCAGUCUGAAAGACUCAAAUAUCAACUUCCAUUGGGGGAUGCUAUUUUAGCCAUAACUAGAAGACUCAUCCUGUGGCUUUUAUUGAUGAUCCACAUGUUAUUUCCUGUGAUGGAUGGAGGAUUAUAGUGGCUGACUCAAAUUUCCACUCUGUGACUCAGGCUGCAAGUGAAGUAACUCAGUUAUCAGUGGUGUUAUAGUCUUCUGCUGGUCUUCAUAUCUCAGUCCUUCAGAAAUAACAAUUACUUCCAUAGUGAAUAAGGAUAUUAAUUAGUCAUAAGCAAAAUCUGAGGUGGAUCUAAGAAAUAAUGGUAACAAAAUAACUUUGACCAGUAAUUGUUCCCAGAGUCACCAUUCGGCCAGGUGAGUGGGAGAAAGUUGGUUUCAGAAUAUUAUGAUUUUGAGAUGUCAGGGAAGAAUUUGAUGUCGGUAUGAGAAAGAAAGAAAGAGAGAAAGAAAGAAAGAAAGAAAG